rnacentral:rRNA from 1 species
GACGAACGCUGGCGGCGUGCUUAACACAUGCAAGUCGAGCGGAGCGGCGAACGGGUGAGUACCGCGUGAGUAACUGCCCCCCUCUCUGGGAUCACCGUUGGAAACGGCUGCUCAUACCGGAUAGUGGGGGAUGACUCGCGUCCUAUCCGCUUUUUGGUGGGGUAGUGGCCUACCAAGGCGACGACGGGUAGCCGGCCUGAGAGGGCGACCGGCCACAUGGGGCGGAGAUACGGCCCAAAAUCCGACGGGAGGCAGCAGGGGGGAAUAUUGCACAAUGGGGGAAACCCUGAUGCAGCAACGCGCGGGCGGGAUGACGGCCUUAGGGUUGUAAACCGCUUUCAGCAAGGACGCGGUAGUGGAAGAAGAAGCACCGGCUAACUACGUGCCAGCAGCCGCGGUAAUAC